rnacentral:rRNA from 1 species
AUGGGAGCGGGCAUGAAGCGCGCGAGGGAGGAGGAGCCAGUUGUGUCGCUGGCGCUGUCGCUCAGGACAGACUCCUCGGUGACGUCCACCACGACGUCGGACAGCUCGACCGGUGCGCCGGCGCUGGUCCCCAGGAAGAGGGCGCGGCGGGGGAGAGCUGUGGCCACGUCCGGGGAGGGGGAGUUCGUGUGCAAGACUUGCGGGCGUGCCUUCGAGACGUUCCAGGCGCUCGGCGGGCACCGGACCAGCCACCUGCGCGGCCGCCAUGGGCUGGAGCUCGGCGUCGGCGUCGCCAGGGCCAUCAAGCAGCGGAAGCGGCAGGAGGAAAAGCAGCACGACUGCCACAUCUGCGGGCUGGGCUUCGAGACGGGACAUGCGCUGGGCGGGCACAUGCGGCGGCACCGCGAGGAGAUGGCACUCAGCGACGCCAUGGACCGGUGGGUCGCGCUGUCGGAUCAAGAGGCUGGGCACCAGCACGCCGCCGACCGGCCGCCAGUCUUGCUCGAGCUGUUUCUCUAG